AAUAGAUACCCCGGUAGUCCACGCAGUAAACGAUGCAGACUAGGCGUGGGGGGGACUUGACCCCCUCCGUGCCGCAGCCAACGCGUGAAGUCUGCCGCCUGGGGAGUACGGUCGCAAGGCUAAAACUCAAAGGAAUUGACGGGGGCCCGCACAAGCGGCGGAGCAUGUGGUUUAAUUCGAAGCAACGCGAAGAACCUUACCAGGUCUUGACAUCCUCUGACAACUCUAGAGAUAGAGCGUUCCCCUUCGGGGGACAGAGUGACAGGUGGUGCAUGGUUGUCGUCAGCUCGUGUCGUGAGAUGUUGGGUUAAGUCCCGCAACGAGCGCAACCCUUGCCUUUAGUUGCCAGCAUUAAGUUGGGCACUCUAGAGGGACUGCCAGGGAUAACCUGGAGGAAGGUGGGGAUGACGUCAAAUCAUCAUGCCCCUUAUGCUUAGGGCUACACACGUGCUACAAUGGGUGGUACAGAGGGCAGCCAAGUCGUGAGGCGGAGCUAAUCCCUUAAAGCCAUUCUCAGCUCGGAUUGUAGG
rnacentral:rRNA from 1 species